rnacentral:rRNA from 1 species
GACAGAGGGUGCAAACGUUGCUCGGAAUUACUGGGCGUAAAGCGCGUGUAGGCGGAUCGGAAAGUCGGGCGUGAAAUCCCCAGGCUCAACCUGGGAACUGCACUCGAAACUCCCGGUCUUGAGUGGUGGAGAGGGAAGUGGAAUUCCUGGUGUAGAGGUGAAAUUCGUAGAUAUCAGGAGGAACACCAGUGGCGAAGGCGGCUUCCUGGACACCAACUGACGCUGAGACGCGAAAGCGUGGGGAGCAAACAGG